CAGGAAUUUGGAGAGGGAUUCAGGUCAUUGAUUUUAGUCAUUCAAUGGUCAUUCUUGACUCAUUGAAACGAAAAGGUUUCGUAAGAAAGAGUCGACUUCAAGACACUUUCUAUUUACAAAUAGUAAUCAGAAUUUGAAAUUGCUGAAGAAUCUUGCUCAGACAUUCUCAAGCGGAAUACUUUUUUCCUUUAAAGGUGUUGUUAUAGGUACCGUGAAGUGGGUCUGAAACAAAACCAUAGAAAGGCUAACAUUGCAGUGAAGUGUUCAGAAUUAGUUUCCUCGUUUACGCUGGGGUGGAUUCAGAGGAACUUGUAAUUACCAGUUUCCUCAGCAGUGAGACGCGAGGAAAUCCUAACAGCGUUGGAGUAAAGGACGAAAUUAUUGCAGACCGCAACUCCUUUACCAGUGGUUUCUCAAGGACGAGGGAAGGGCAUGUUCAUCACACCACGGGCCUUGUGCUUCCCUCUGCUGUGCGACCAAGAGAAAAGCACGGGCGUGCAGAAACCGUUUCCCGAGAUCCCGAUCGUCUGAAACGGUACUGUGGGCCUCUCUGGAGUGUACGGCCCUAGCAUCAACACUGUUUAUAAGACAAAUCUUAUAAAAAGGUCCAUUUUAGACGGAUGAGACAUUUUGUACUGAAAAAAAAAAAUUUUUGACUUUGUACAAUUAAAUAGUACUCACAGCUUGGUA